AACUGUGGAGAAUCGCCAAUAAGCGGCGACCACGGCUGAGCAAACAUCAAACCACAGGAGGCGAGCGGCGGAGAACAUCCAGAGCCGCCGUCCUCGGCCCCUCAAUCACACUUCAGUACAUGCAGCUAGCAGGAAGAACCUCGCCCUCGGCUUGUGAUCCCUGUAAUGGAAUACGGUGUAUAAUCGAGAGGAGAGCCGACGUUUCUUUGUCUGCAGGUGGGAUCAUUUGGCCGCGUGGCGUUGAACAGAUGGACGGUCGCUAAUGCCGGUCCUCACCAGAUGCAGGACGAUUCACUCUUUGAAGCUGUGACAGACGAGGUUCACACCCUGACACUCACACCUGACAGGACCGCCGUGGGUUUCUGGUAAUGAG